UGUGUGUUGCUGUGUGACUGCUAGGAUUUCAUUUCUAUGUAUGUUUUUUUUCCCCAUAACCCCCUUCCUCCCUAGCUCUUUAGCUGUUGUCCCUGGCUAGGCGCUGGGUGGAUGCUGCCGGGCGACCAACGGCGGUGGCGGUGUGCAACGCGGGAGCUGCUGAGGUUUGGGUAGCACUACGGUGCAGGUUAUGUAGGGUGUGUGAGUUUUUUUUUUGUGUGAGUGUCUUUUUUUUGUGUGGGGUGUUGGCGGGGGACUUAGCUAAUCACUGUGUCAGGAAGGCAUGGGCGUGGCCGUCUGUCCAUCAGGCCGACGGGCGGGUGUGCCACCUGGCAGUCAGGCUAGCAGGUGACAGGCAAGCUAUCUGGUGGUAAGGCUGGCAGUCGGGCCAUCAGAUAGGUAGGCAGGCCACCUUGCGGUCAGGUUGUCGGGCGGGCACCCCACCCUCGGUCAGGUAGGCAGGCAGCAGCGUCUACGCUGAACCGUACGGCCACACGUACGAACGCACGGAACCCGUACGCUACGUUCCGCCGCACUGACGCUCGUCGUACCUCUGCUCGCACGCUUGCGGGCGGGUAGGGGGCGGGGGGCGGAUGGGCGGACGGGCGGGCGUACGUGGGAACGGGCGGGCGGACGGGUGGUCGGGCGGGUAGGGAGUCGGAGCAACGCUUGAAAGACGCGCAGAUAGAUGUCAGAUUCUCCCGUAGGGAGGUCUGGCAAGGUGAUAGUUUAGGCGGCGGAGUUGUACGCGGGCCAGUCUGUGUUACAGCUUUGCCGUCAGGGUAGCUCCUUACGAGCUGCCCAAACUGAGGACCAGUUUUCCUCACAGGAGGAGGCUGGUGGGGCCUAGGGUGUUAGGGGUACAACGGUUGGCUCUUUCACAGAACGGGUGUUUUCCGUUCUGCGUUUGAGUCUGCCGCCUUUGGGCGUCUCCCUCUGAGAUGUCGGUUAGGAUUUCUUUUUUUUAUAUGUCCGUGUGUGUAACUGUUGCCUUUUAGCCUGUUGUGUUCCUGAGCAGCAAGAAGAGGAGGCUGUGGUGACCCGCCCGAUGCGGAAGGCUUCUGGGCCCUGUCGGCGGGGGCGCACCUCUCUGGCUGACUGGUUGACCAGGCUUUGACCAGGUGGCCGGGGAGGCGCAUCCUCGCUGGGCGGGGUCUGGGGGCCCUCCGUCUUGGGGAGGUCGCUGCAGCAGGAGGAGGUAACUACUGCUGGUUUUGUAAGGCAUUGUGGUUGAGAGCACCUUGCAGCUGUAACGCGAAUUUCGUUCCGUAAUAAACAAUGUACCGCCAUGCUGCCUGUCCUUCCUCCCUCCCAGCACUGUGUACGUCUGUGUGUGUGUGUUGCUUAAUUCUCCCUCACUGCACUGUGCGUACGUCUGUGUGUGUGUGUUGCUCUGUCUCUCUCUCUCUCUCAAUCUCUCUCUGUCUCUCUCUGUCUGUCUCUCUAUCUCUCAAUCUCUCUCUGUGUCUUUCUCUCUCUCUAGUUAGUAAAGAACGGGCAACGUUUGCCAUGGAAGACUCUACAGUAUAAGACUCUACAGUAUACAUAAGAGUCUACAGUGUACAUCCCAACCCUCUACGGCCGUUGCUGCUCCACCCGGGCAUUACCACAUCCACCCGGGUCUACAAGAAACCUCCACGGCCGAGCCUCAACCACAGAACACACCGCUACGGUUGAUGAGGUUCCACGCCCCGGACUACCGCCAUGUUAGCCUCCAUAAUAGUCCUCGGCGCACUUGUUCUGAGACGUCCUGACUGGAGAGCUACACAACACUGGUCAUCCGCUGAGUGGUUGAAUUCCUGGUCUACCGGCCCCUGGAGGAGUGGUUGAUUGCCUGGUCUACUGUGGAUAUGAGUGGUUGAUUCCCUGGUCUACCCCUGGAUGACGCAGCUGUUCCUAUGCAGGGGAGGACUCGCACAAGCGAUAAGCACCUGUCGGCCCUGGAGACUCCCCCUGAGCCUGACGGUGGAGCUGUGGGCCCUGCACCAGACCCCAACACCCCUCCACACCACCCACAGCAGGAGCAGGGCGGUGAGACUCCCCCCACAGGCUGACAGGGAGGGACUUGAAGAUCCGGGUUUUUGUCAUCUGCACAGGAAUUGACACAUGAUGUCUAAGGUUCCGCCCAUGCAGCUGAAGGGUGCCAAUGCCUACACAUGCAUCGACCACAGGUGUGCGCUGGACAUUGCCUACAAUUCAUGGUGCAAAUGGGAGCGUCGGCGGAGAUCGAGCUGGCUGAAGGUUGGCGGCCGGGUCAAGCUCGCAAAGGACAAGAAGUUCUGUGACAUGUGCUCGGCCGAUGUUGUUGACCUCGGCCACAUCAAUGUUACUAAGGUGGUGGAGGUGUGGAAACUACAUCUACAUGGACGACAGACUCAAGGAGAUUGCUGA